GCUGGCGGAAUGCUUUACACAUGCAAGUCGAGCGGCAGCGCGGGGCAACCUGGCGGCGAGCGGCGAACGGGUGAGUAAUGCAUCGGAACGUGUCCAUGUCGUGGGGGAUAGCCCGGCGAAAGCCGGAUUAAUACCGCAUACGCCCGAGAGGGGAAAGUGGGGGACCGCAAGGCCUCACGCGAUUGGAUCGGCCGAUGUCCGAUUAGCUAGUUGGCGGGGUAAAGGCCCACCAAGGCGAUGAUCGGUAGCUGGUCUGAGAGGAUGAUCAGCCACACUGGGACUGAGACACGGCCCAGACUCCUACGGGAGGCAGCAGUGGGGAAUUUUGGACAAUGGGGGCAACCCUGAUCCAGCCAUUCCGCGUGAGUGAAGAAGGCCUUCGGGUUGUAAAGCUCUUUUGUCCGGAACGAAACGGGUAGCGUGAAUAUCGCUGCCUACUGACGGUACCCGGAAGAAUAAGCACCGGCUAACUACGUGCCAGCAGCCGCGGUAAUACGUAGGGUGCGAGCGUUAAUCGGAAUUACUGGGCGUAAAGCGUGCGCAGGCGGUUUUGCAAGCCGGAUGUGAAAUCCCCGGGCUUAACCUGGGAAUGGCAUUUGGGACUGCAAUGCUGGAGUGC
rnacentral:rRNA from 1 species